AGAUGAAGGCCGUCGAAGAUCACAAGCGCAGCUUGCUAUUGUACAGGUUUAGAAUCUAGAAAGGCUGAUGAAGGCCGUCGAAGAUCACAAGCGCAGCUUGCUAUUGUACAGGUUUAGAAUCUAGAAAGGUUGUUAAUUCCAAAUCAAUUUGGAAUCCAGUCAAAACUACUCUCAAGGACUGCUCUGAACCUCAAAUAUCGUCGUCCAAAGAAUUUGUGAUAUGUUGAUUGAUGCAACUAUGCUGUACUGUUUCAGUGACUGUUAAAAGUAGACAUAACAGAAGUCUGGCAUUUUAGGUCACGGAAGUCUGGCAUCCUUUGUACACUAAUAUGAGGCGUUUUAGGUCACGGAAGUCUGGCAUGGCUGCAUCUAUUUUGAACACGAUCUGUACACGUAGACAUAACAAAGAAA